rnacentral:sRNA from 1 species
GGGGGGGACGGUGGGGGAACAAGGGGGUGGGACUGGGGAAGCUUCUGAGAACAUUUGCCCUAGGUAUUCAGCUAAACUAAGAAAAAUUGGUCCAAGGCUCGGCACAAAAGGAUCUUUUCAUUCCAGUCCUUUCGCCCACGCAGGGAACGAUGCCUCUGGAGGUGGUGGUGGAGCUGCAGAUCCGGGCGAUUUCUUGCCCAGGAGUGUUCCUGCCUGGCAAACAAGAUGUGUACCUCGGGGUCUACCUCAUGAAUCAGUACCUGGAGACAAACAGCUUUCCCUCUGCGUUCCCCAUUAUGAUUCAGGAGAGCAUGAGAUUUGAAAAGGUAUUUGAAAGUGCAGUAGAUCCUGGAGCUGUAGUAGACCUUUUGGAAAGCUUCCUAACCAGGUUUGAAUUAAUACAGCUAGUUCCUCCAGUGUGGGAUGAGUUGGCCUACUAUGAAGAAAACACACGAGAUUUUCUUUUCCCAGAGCCCAAGCUGACACCUUCGCACCCUAGGAGGUGUAGGGAGGUGCUCAUGAAGACGGCUCUGGGUUUUCCAGGCAUUGCUCCCAAAAUAGAGUUUUCUACAAGGACAGCCAUCAGAGAAUGUGUGUUUCUGCAUAGAAACAGAUUUCUUGUAAGUACAAUACAAAUCUAGUGAUAGAAAUGACCGGAUUUUUUUUUUCAAAUUUAAAGAAUUUUUGCCCAUACUCAGUUUAUCAAGUUUACAUGAAACUAAACAAGUAGAAACCUGGAAAGUUUUUACUAGGUUUGAAUUUCUAUAAUUCAAACUGUUUGCUCAGCCAGUCAUAUUAGAGUAUGUUUGGUACAUAUGUUUGGCAGCAUGAUGUAGCUGGAAGCAGGGUGAUUCAGAAGCUAAAAUUACAAAUUUGAUGUAAGUGAGCUAAUUAGCUUUUGUUAUUGUUGUUCUAUGACAUUUACUUGUGAUCUUAUGAACAACAGUUUCCAUCUUUCUUUUUUAAAAAUUUAAAAAUUUUAGGCUGGGCAUGGUGGCACUUUGGGAGGCCGAGGCAGGUGGAUCACCUGAGGUCAGGAGGUAGAGAACAGCCUGGGCAACAUGGUGAAACCCCACCUCUACCAAAAAUACAAAAAGUAGCUGGGCAUGGUGGCGUGUGCCUGUAGUCCCAGCUACGGGGGAGGCUGAGGCAUGCAAAUCGCCUGAGCCUGGGAGGUCAAGGCUGCAGUGAGCCAAGAUGGCUCCACUGCACUCCAGCCUGGGUGACAGAGUGAGACUCCAUCUCAGAAAAAAAUAAUAAUAAAAUAAAUAAAUAAAUAAUAAAAAUAAAAUAAAAAUUUAGAAAUUUUAAUUUUUUAUGGAUACGUAGUACCUGUAUAUAUUUAUGGGGUACAUGAGAUAUUUUGAUAUAGGCAUACAGUAUGUAAUAAUCACAUCAAGGUAAAUGGUGUAUCCAUCACCUAAAACAUUUAUCUUUUGAGUUACAAACAAUCCAAUUAUAUUCUUUUAGUUAUUUUAAAAUUUACAGUUAAAUUAUUAUCGACUAUAGUCACCCUGUUGUUCUAUCAAAUACUAGAUCUUAUUCAUUCUUUCUAUUUUUUUUUUUUUGUACCCUUUAACCAUCCCCACUCCCCCUCAGCCCCCAUGACCCUUCCCAGCCUCUGGUAACCAUCAUUCUACUCUCUGUCUCCAUGAGUUCAAUUGUUUUAAUCUUUAGCUCCCACAAAUAAGUGAGAAUAUAUAAAGUUUGUCUUUCUGUGCCUGGCUUAUUUCACUUGAUAUAACGGCCUCAACUUCCAUCCAUGUUGUUGCAAGACAUAAAAAAUAAUGGCUGAAUAGCACUCCAUUAUGUGUAUGUAAUAUAAUUUCUUUAUCCAUUCAUCUGUUGAUGGACACUUAGGUUGAUUCCAAAUCUUGGCUAUUGUGAAUAGUGCUGCAGUAAACAUGGGGCCACCUUUCUUUUGCUGAGGCUGAUGCUCAGAUUGUAUUCAUGGUCCAUCUUUGGUAAGCGUGAAGUGUCUUAGGGCAUCCAUGUGUACUACCUCAAUUUUACUUUCUUCUUCAGUCCUAGUGUCUGUCUCCCUCACCCCAAUUUCUUUCUGUUUUGCUUUUACCUUAUUGCAUAUAAUGUUGUUGCCACUUAAAAUCCUUUCUAGAACAAGAUGGAGAAGGAAUAAAGGUAGUUUGUGAAGCUUCUCCAAAUACUUUGGGACAGGGUAGAGUAAAACCUGUAAGUGAAACAAAAUGCUUAUCCCAGAUCUCAUGUAUGGUCCUAGAAAAGACCUUGAAAAUGUGGGCUGUAUGUUACAGAAUACUUAAUGAGAAAGAAGGGCCAAUAAUCUGUGCAAAUCUAUCAAAACUCUUAGCUAAAUAACUCAUAUAAUGGGAGACCAAUGAUGAAUUUUAAGGAAGGCAUUAUCUGCUUUUUAGUUUUGCCUUAUUUAUCCUCUCUUCUCUCCAAUUUAUUUGUGAUGUGUUCAUAGCAAUUUUUCAGUGUUUCUUUCUCUUCCAUUCUACCAUUUUAAUGCUGUUUUAACUUCCUAGGUCCUUCUUUCAGUGUUAACUUUUUAAACAAAUAGUUUUAUUGUUUUUUUUCUUGAACUCCUGGCCUCAAGAGAUCCUCUGCUUCAGCCUCCCAACGUGUUGGGAUUACAGGCAUGAGCCACCGCACUGUCUGUUUUUUUUUUUCCUUAAAACAAAAGUAUCACUUUAUUUUAGAAAAUUAGAAAACAAAGAUAAAUAAGCAAAAAGGACCCAAAACUUAAAAAAACUGUCUCAUUCUUGCCAUUUAGAGAUCAGCAUUAAUUUUUUUAGUAUAUUCUGUACACACAUCACACUUUUAAAAAAGAUUGAGAUCACGCUGCAUUGCAUAUUAUUUUGUACCCUUCUUUUUUUUACUUAAUUUAUCAUAAACAUUUUCUCAUGUCCUCAGGUAUUCUUGUGCCAGACAAUUUUUCAUGGCUUCAUAGUAUUCCAUUGUAUGGAAGUACUGUAAUCUGUCUGGCCAUUCAUUUUCCUUUUGUUGAGCACUUAACUGAUACAUCAGCCAGGGUCCAGUCAGGAAACCACACCAAACUUGUGACUGUAACAGAAAGAUUUAAUUUUUAAAAAUGGCUAAACAGGGGUUGAAAGAAAGACUGAAAGAUAAAAGGGGAACACUGAAAUGACAGAGUAACUGCAGGAAGCAGCUUCCACCCCUAGGGCUGGGGAAACAAGGGGAAGAUGUUGGUUCAGCAAGAACACAGAGGCUUAAAGAAGAAACUGAACAGAAAUGGGACCCAGACCUCUGGAGAAGGGCUGCUUUCCUGGAUGCUUCUUCAGGAAUUCGAAGGUGGGACUUGGAUGAGCUGGAACUCAGAUCUCAAAGGAGGGGCACUGCUCACUGCUGGUGCCACAGGAGUUUGGAGGAAGGUUCCUGUGGGUGUAGACUCAAAUCUGAACAGGGGGCUCUGGUCAGCUGCUGCUGCUAUGUCUGGAGGAGUGCAGUGGGGCUAGUCCUGGCGUAAUCAGGGAAAGGCUAUAAUCUGGAGCCAUUUGCAGCUGUUAAGGCGAAGAAUGGUUGCAGGAAUGAUGCUAACAGGAAUAGAAUGCAAAACUGGAAGUAGCCAGUCACUGUAUCUCCUCCAGCCUUGCACUUUCUCUAGCACCUUCCAGUGGCAGAGCCUACAGAGACCAGGUGGAAAAGCAAAAAAGGGAAUUUGUAGAGUCCCUGGACCAGUAUUAUAUAGCUGAGGUGGAUUUGCAACUGAGCGCAAUUGCUUACUCACCAAUACAGCUGGUUUCUAACUUUUAAACUAUCAUAAGCAUUUUUGUAGCUAUACAUAUAGCCAUAGUUAUUUCCUUAUAAUACAUUCCUGGAAGUGAAAUUGCUAGACCCCUCUAUGUGUCAAAUUCUCUAUUAUCUAUCUAUUGGAGGUGUCUGACACUUUCUAACUUCCCCCUAUUAUAAAUAAAUCUCACUGUUAAUAAGUUGAAUACAUUAUACUAGCAAGUUAUAAAUACUACUGAUGUUAAACUGAACAGGAAAAAAAUUAGAGAAAUGUCCUUUCUUAAGUUUAUGUUUUAUAAAUCUGAGGUGUGUUAUCUUUGACCUUAAUUUUUAAAAAUUCAAUUAAAUACA